rnacentral:rRNA from 1 species
UACGUAGGGUCCGAGCGUUAAUCGGAAUUACUGGGCGUAAAGCGUGUGUAGGCGGUUCUCUAAGUCGGAUGUGAAAUCCCUGGGCUCAACCCAGGAAGUGCACUCGAAACUGGAGGGCUAGAGUAUCGGAGAGGUUGGUGGAAUUCUCGGUGUAGAGGUGAAAUUCGUAGAUAUCGAGAGGAACACCGGUGGCGAAGGCGGCCAACUGGACGAAUACUGACGCUGAGACACGAAAGCGUGGGGAGCAAACAGG